rnacentral:misc_RNA from 1 species
AUAUUCUAUCAGUGCAUAACCCUUGUGAAACAAUUAGUCAGGUUAAUAAUUCCAUACUGAAAAAAAGUAGUACUUCAAACUUUCAACAAGGAAAAGUAGCCAAUUACAUAGUUGGCUGCCAUGAUCAACAUAGAUACAAGGAAUAAUAAAAUCAACACCACAUAAAUAUGAGGAUAUCAAACUAAUAAUAUUCAAGUUACCCAAAUUAAUUACAAUGCAUCAUAUGCUUACCAGGAAUAACAUGCCUUCAAUACUUGUUACAACCUUAUAUUUUUUUAAUCAGGAUGUAAUAUUUCUGUUGAGCGUUUUAAUUUUUUGAUCUCUUCACAAUCCCUUAACAUGGUAGCCACUUCUAACAAAUAUUAUAUAAUCUAACACAAGACUUCAGCAAAGAAGCUUUAUUUUGGUUAGGGAAAAUUAUUAUUUAAUCCCUGCAUUUUAAUAAAACUAAAUACUUAGUCCCUCUAUUUGAAAAGAUACACUAUUUUGUUCUCCUAUAUUUAGUCCGUUAAACUGUUUAAUCCCUUUAUCAAAUUUUCCAUUAGUUAAAGAAUUUUGAAACUUAUUAAUUGGUCCAUAUAUUUUGAAAAAAAUACUAUUUAGUCUAUCUAUUUUAAUGAAACUAAUUAAUUAAUUCCUUUAUUUUGAAAAACAUAUUUUUAGAUAAAUAUAGAAAUUUUGUUGUGUAGAGACUAAAUUUGAAUUUAUAUUUUUUUAAAUCAUUAAAAUAUUUUCAUUUAAUUCCAUGUGCAUCAUUUUUGUAUUUUCUUUAUUGGGAACAAUACUUGAUCCAGAUCUUCAAGUAAUCUAGGCAAUAAUUCAAGACAAUUGAUUCCCAAUAGAGAAAACAAAAAAAUAAUAUCUAGGGAAUUGAAUGAAAUUAUACUUGCACAAUUUAAAAAAAUGUAAAUUCACAUUUAUUUUCUAUACAGCAAAAUUUAUAUUUUUCAUAUAGGAAUAUGUUUUUCAACAUAUUGGGACCAACUAAUUAGUUUCACUAAAAUAAAGGAACUAAAUAGUAGUGUUCUUCAAAAUUCAAGGACUAACUAAUUAGUUUCAUUAAAAUAGAAAGACUAAAUAACAGUUUGACUAGUAUUAACUUACAAAAAAUUUAACGGAGGGACUAAGUAAUUUAGAGGAAGUAAAAUACAAAGAUUAAAUAGUGUAUUUUUCAAAAUAAAGGCAUCAAGUAGUUAGUUUCGCUAAAUACAUGAACUACAUAGUAAUUUUCCCUUUUGGUUACAAGACACAUACAAAUUAACUACUAUUUGGGAGCUUAUUAUAGAUGAUUAAGAAUAUAAUCACGACCUAUGAUAACUAUAUAACUUCAAGCUCUAAAGGUCUCUUUUUUUACAUUAGUUUGAUUGAUGCAUGAUUUAUAGUCAAAGGGUACAACUAUUCUGUUUUACCAGCUCGAACAAGCCAAGUUAUUAAGAUCUUCAUUCUAUAUCAAAAAACUAUUCCCAGUUUGGAAUUUUUUUUUUUUUUGUUCGAAUUAAAACUCUCCAGGACUGUAAAGGCAAACAAUUCAACAAAGGUUCCAGUAUUCAAAAUUAGCAUUUUAAUAGUUCACUUCGCACUUUGCAUUUCAACCUAAAAAGGAGCCCAUCUGAAAUAAACAACCUACAAUAUGUUAUUUAGACAUUAGAAAGAAAAUAGAAGGAAGAAAAAAAAUGUAUCACUUACCUUAACAAACCCAGUUCGGCGAU